GAAAAAAAAAAGACGGCCAAUUCAAGAUAAAUUGAUAAAAAUAUCAAGAUAUUUUUGAAAGAAUAUAAACACGAUUUAUACACGAGGCCUGACGAGGCUAAAGUAUGCCCGUUCGCAGGUUAGAUGCGGGAACGAUGUAAACAAUUGAUGUAAACGAAUCGCUGAUUGGCUUAAAUUGGCUUAAAUUAUAUAAGCUCGUCGCUGAAUGGCUAUGUGUUAACAUACUACGGUAACAGUAACAUUAACGGCACGUUUGCGAUAGCAAUAUAUCUGCUUCGCAGAUACAAUGAGACAAAAUUAAGAAAAUUAUCUGACAGCAGGAAAAAUUAAAUAUUUAAAACAUAAUAUAUAUAUACAUUCAUAUAGUACCAGUCAGAAAUAGCGACAGAACUCUACAUGAAAAAUAUCUCGCGGAUUGAAUCCCCACCGGCGAAACUCCCGACGACAAAAACCCCAAAUUACUGAAUACACACAAAUAUAAAAUAAUUAAUACUUAGAAAAGUUUAGCACAAUUCGUGUCCAUGUUGCCGUUCUGUUUGCUUGCUUAACCAGCUUAAGCACGUGGAGGGCACCACUGAGGUCUAUGAAAUCAAUACCCGACCUACUACUGGUGGUGCUGUUGUAUAAAAGUAAUGUCCAUUAGAAUAUAUCAGUAUAAUACUAACUGAAUAAAAAGGGAAAAAAAGCUAAUAGUGCAAAUGGUGGCAUCUACUUAUUUACAAUCAUGCAGUGCUAUUACGUCCAAAUUGCUUGUAUGUACUCAUACAUACUGUCAUAGUUGGAUACUAUCAAAAAUCCCAAAACUAAGUUAACUAACACACAUAAUAAUCAUAUUCAUCCUUUUCCUAAACACUUUCUGGUUUUUGUUGUUUUUCGUUGCCAUCUUUGACAAUGGCUGGUUCAUCAACAGUCUUCAUAAGGUAGCUACCAGCG